GGAGAAGUAGAAGCUGACAAUAAUCGUGCAUAGCAGUGGCUGUUGGUGUUAACUCGGUCUCUGUUGAUGGAGUGGGGCCGAGGUAGAUGGGAUUGGAGAGGGAGGCUGGGACGAGGGCACCAAGAUUCGAAGCACCAAUAGAGCUUUAUGUAGUGAUGGCUCAUGCUUGGGUUUGCAGCUGUGUUUCCAGAGGAAUCUUCCAGGAGCCCUAGACCAAGGAGAAAGUGGCAGAAGUGGACAUGAACAGACUAGACAUCCUUCUAAGGACACAUGAACAGUUCUCAGCUUUCUGACUCCCGCAUAACUGGCUGUGAGUAAGCGGUCAGUGGUCUGAAUUCCUCAUCUGCGCUCACUGUAGUACUCUUCACAGGCCUUGUGCUUCCUCGUUGGGUGCAGGACUCUGUGAGAUUACGUCUGGGGAGGGGCCAGAGUCUGCUGUGCGGAGUGAUUAUUUUGGGUGCUGUUGCAAGGGGUGCUUUUUGGUUGUAAUGCUAAAGGUGUGAUGGGGAGCGUUGAGGGCGGAGCUCGGUCGUGUGGGUGAGACAAAAAGAAGAGCCUAUGAGACGUUGCCUACUGAGAUGGUAACAUGCUUGUUUUUUCCCCGCUUGUGCCGGGUUUAGUACCAAGGAGAAAGAAGUCAAGUGUCACAGUCUACUGCCCUCGUGCAAUGUAAAGUGAGCGAGAGCAGCGAGCCUGUGAGCACUGUUGAUGCCAGGCAAGAUCUGAGCAGAUGCCACUCUCAAUGAGAUACGUGUCUGUCAUAACUCUCCUACUCAGAUCUGAACCUUAGAGUUCAGAACAUGAGAAGCUAGCAUGAAACCUCCAAACUUAAUUACCAGCUUGGAUCUGAUAUCGCUGCCACCAGCCAGAAUUCCAGUGUCUGGCUCACUCUGGUCUCCCCAAAACCUUCCCUGGGGAACCCCCAAGACUCAGAUGCCCUGAGUCUCACCACAAAGGGAAAUAACCCACUUCCCUUCCCCCUCUUUACCUCCUCCCAGAUUUCCCCGCCCUGGGUACUCUAGGAAUUCCCUGCUUCAAGUCCUUGAAACACAAGUACCGAGAGAUCAAUUUCUCUCUCCCCUCACCGAGAGGGUAUGCAAAGUCAGGCUUAGUAAAUCUAACACAAAGAGAUUCUCUCUUCCCCCCUGUCUUCUUCCUCCCACCAAUUCCCUGCUGAGCUGCAGACACAAUCCCCUUGAGCCCCCACUAAAAAAAGAAAUCCACAGGUCUUAAAAAGAAAGCUUUAUAUAAAAAGGAAGAAAAAGACAUAAAAUGGUCUCUGUAUCAAGGUGACAAUAUACAGGGUCAAUUGCUUAAAAGAAAAAAAAUGAAUAAAUAGCCUUAUCCAAACAGAAUACAAUUUAACACAUUCCAGCAACUACACACAUGUAAAUGCAAAAAAACAAUAUAAACCUAUUGUCUUACUAUCUUUGUACUUACAACUUGGAAACAGAAGAUUAGAAAGCCUGGAGAUAGAAAGAUCACUCUCAGAGCCCAGAAAGAGAAGAGACCAAGAACAAAGGACUCACACCCAAAACUUCCCUCCACCCAGAUUUGAAAAAGUCUUGUUUCCUGAUUGGUCCUCUGGUCAGGUGUUUGGUUCCCUUUGUUAACCCUUCACAGGUAAAAGAACAUUAACCCUUAGCUAUCUGUUUAUGACAGUGUCUUGUUUGGUGAUCGCUGUGCUUGUGGCCCACCUCGGUCCUGCUAGGGCCGCCCCAUUGGCUGGGGUUGGGUUUGUAAGAAAUGCUUCCUGACCAGCUGUGCUUACGAGAGAGACAAGGUCCCCGUUUUCAGGGGCUGCUCAUUUCUCUGGCCCAGAGCAGUGUGUCCUCCACAGCAGAAGGUUGCAUCUAGGAGGAUGACUCCAGUUUGCAGAGGAAUCGUCCAGGAGCCCAACCGGACAAGAAUAUGGCAGAAGUGGACCUGAGCAGCCUGGACAUCCUUCUAAGGAGACACGAAUAGUCCUCAUGUUUCUGCUUUCUGCAUCACGGGCUAUGAGUAAGAUUACCAAGGAAAAUGAAGUCGCGCAUCAAAGUCUACUGCUCUGAUGCGAUGGAAAGCGAGCAAGAGCGUCGAGACUCUGACCAUUGUUGAUGCCACGCAAAAGCUGUCCAUCUGGAAGCCGAGGAGAUGCUGCUGUCAGCGAGAUAAGUGUCUGGUUUGGGGAGGGCUCUGCUCACGCCCAACCUGAGUCCAGGUAGGGAAGCCCAGUACGGUAAGGCUGGGUUUGUAUGAAAAGGUUCCUGACUAGCUGUGGUCACAAGGGAGAAAAGGUCCCUCUUUUCAGAGGUUGCUCAUUUUUCUGGUCAGGAACAGUGUCUCCUGCACAGGGGGAGGUUGGAUCCAGGAGGAUGACUCAGGUGGUGAGUUGCUUGCUUUCCUCCCAUUUGUCUCUCUCUUCUCGAGUGUGUUGGCCAACUUUCUCACUCUCUUCCCUCUCCUCUCCUCGUGCCGUCUCACUUCCUAAGACACGGGCAGACGUGUUAGGUGUGCAUCCCUACAGGCUAGGUCUCGGGAUCCAUGGAGUAGCGGGAGCUGACGAAAAUCAUGCGUAGCAGUGGCUGUUGGUGUUAACUCUGUCUCUGUUGAUGGAGUGGGGCUGAGGUAGAUUGGGUUGGAGAGGGAUGCCAGGUUGAGGGCAAGAUUCGAAGCACCAGUAGAGCUUUGUGUAGUGAUGGCUCAUGCUUGGCUUUUGCAGCUGCUCUUCCAAAGCAAUUUUCCAGGAGUCCUAGACUGAGGAGAAAGUAGCAGAAGUGGACAUGAACAAUCCUCAGCUUUCUGACUCCCGCACAACUGGCUGCUCAUAUACACCCCUUGAACCAAAGGGACUUGCUCUUCACUGACUGACUAUGCCUGGCAGUGCAGGAAAUGGUCAACUGAAGGUAAUGUAUCUUUGGAAGAACUCAGGGUAAGUUUUUAAAGUGAAGAGGUCUGGUUAUGCUCGUGCUGGUUAAUCUUAAGUCUGUAUUAAUACUAUAGUUUAGUUAUAUUAGUAAAUUGUUGAAGUUGUUUAAAGAUUGUAAUAGUCAAUAGUUGAUCAAUAUAUAAUAACUGUAUAUGUUUUUAUGCCUUGCUGGGAAUGGGUACAGUGCUGGUGAACCUAGUAGCUUUGCAUGUCGCUGUGCCUGUCUUUUAUAUAAGUUACCAUCAUAAAAGUCAAUAAAUGCUUAUAAGUUGUUAUACAAAGUUAUAGGUAGGUUAAGGUUAGUAAAAUAUAGUUAGUCCAUGUAUUAAUAUUGCAUAUAGAAUUGUAUUUGUUGAGGUGGGUGCAGUACAUGUAAGGUUACUAGGCAAUCAGUAAUAGUAGCAUUGCAUGCGCUUGUAACUAUUUUCAAUAUUAUUUACCCUUUAUA